UACGGGGGGAGCAAGCGUUGUUCGGAUUUACUGGGCGUAAAGGGCGCGUAGGCGGUCAGCACAAGUCAGUUGUGAAAUCUUCGGGCUUAACUCGGAAAGGUCAACUGAUACUGUGCGACUAGAGUGCGGAAGGGGCAACUGGAAUUCUCGGUGUAGCGGUGAAAUGCGUAGAUAUCGAGAGGAACACCUGCGGCGAAGGCGGGUUGCUGGGCUGACACUGACGCUGAUGCGCGAAAGCCAGGGGAGCGAACGGG
rnacentral:rRNA from 1 species